rnacentral:rRNA from 1 species
GGGGAAUAUUGCACAAUGGGGGAAACCCUGAUGCAGCGACGCCGCGUGGAGGAAGAAGGUCUUCGGAUUGUAAACUCCUGUUGUUGGGGAAGAUAAUGACGGUACCCAACAAGGAAGUGACGGCUAACUACGUGCCAGCAGCCGCGGUAAAACGUAGGUCACAAGCGUUGUCCGGAAUUACUGGGUGUAAAGGGAGCGCAGGCGGGAAGACAAGUUGGAAGUGAAAUCUAUGGGCUCAACCCAUAAACUGCUUUCAAAACUGUUUUUCUUGAGUAGUGCAGAGGUAGGCGGAAUUCCCGGUGUAGCGGUGGAAUGCGUAGAUAUCGGGAGGAACACCAGUGGCGAAGGCGGCCUACUGGGCACCAACUGACGCUGAGGCUCGAAAGUGUGGGUAGCAAACAGGAUUAGAUACCCUGGUAGUCCACACCGUAAACGAUGAUUACUAGGUGUUGGAGGAUUGACCCCUUCAGUGCCGCAGUUAACACAAUAAGUAAUCCACCUGGGGAGUACGACCGCAAGGUUGAAACUCAAAGGAAUUGACGGGGGCCCGCACAAGCAGUGGAGUAUGUGGCUUAAUUCGACGCAACGCGAAGAACCUUACCAAGUCUUGACAUUCCUUGACAGGCAUAGAAAUAUGUUUUCUCUUCGGAGCAAGGAGACAGGUGGUGCAUGGUUGUCGUCAGCUCGUGUC